GAGCCAAGAUGAGAACCUGUUUGAAUAUUUUUGUGUUAGCUGAGUCCAAACUAACCCAAACUAACUCUAACCAUGGAUCCAAACAAGGCCUUUGUAGAAAGAUUCAACCCCAUAGAGCCAAGAUGAGAACCUGUCUCAAAAAAAUAGAGCCAACAUGAGCAACGUGGCCAAGAGCCAGCAUAACAGAGCCAAGAUGAGUGGGAGCCCAAGACAGCACGACAUGCCAUUAGCCGGCGGUGCACGAAGGCCGUCGAGGUGGGAGCCAGUCAAGCCGUGGAAGACGACGACCCUAAACUGCAUUUCUCCAGUAUGACUACAUCGCCACCACCCAAAUUGAAAUUUAUCAUAAACUUUGGACUCAACUGGUUCUAAACUUAUACCUUCAGUUUCUUCUAAUAUCUCAUCUAAUAUCUAAAUUAUGUGAGUGAUACUUUCAACUCUGUGCUCAGUACUACAUACUCAUCUCAUCAUAGGUGCAGACAUGAUAGCUUCCUUGAAAGUGUAAUGUAAUGGCGCUUUUAUAAUAGGAGGAUUGUCAUGAGAAUUCUGCAUAGAUGUACACAUUGACAUGCAACAGUAGACCACGCCAUAUUGAUGAAGCUAAUUAGCGGCAGCUACAUCACACCAUACAUAUGAAGUUAUCAGAUCAUAUCCCUAACAGUCCACUACCUCUACUAAUUAGUCUUAGAGAUAAGCCUCCACAUCAAGUCCUCCUCACUCUAUUCUUUACCCGUGGCGCAUUUCAGAGUGUCCCCUAUGCAACCCUUCCAUUUCACUUCAUCCAUCUUGAUUUAUAAGUGCCCCACGUAUUCGGCGAUUUGAGUAUAUUGUAAACCACACAAAGUGUGCCAUCAGAUUCAUAUUUCAUUUUAUGACAGAUUGUUUAUAUAUUAAUGGUCUAACUGAUGAUUAAAACAAAAACAAAUUUAAGUUUUCCCACAAAAGAAUUAAAUAUGUGCAUGCACAUGAUGAAUUGGAUAUAAGGUGUAGCCCAACAGUGAAAAAUGUUCUGCCCACCUGGUAGAGCCUCACUUCAAGGUUGUUAUAAUCGUGAUUUUGUUGUUCGAUUCUACGACUUUACAAUCCAAACUAACGCCUCCGAUUAUAUGAUUUUGGUCAUAGAAUCUAUGUUUCUAUGAUUCUGAUAGUCACGAUUCUAAGAUUUGUGAUUUGAUUCAGAAUCACUGGCUAGCCUCUCGGCCAAUCAUGCUACUACUGUAGUAUAUCCUUACUAGGUUCAUGUGUUCCUUGUUUGUGUAGCUCUUAUGUUGGAUCACAUUGCUCUGUCAUUGGAUUAUUGGAGUCAUUUCUUGGUUUACGUGGCUGCUCCGCAAUGUGCUUGGUACUUGAUCCUUUGCUUUGUUUACUUGACAGGCUAAUACUUAUUGCUUGGGAAUUUCGUCGUCCAGUCUAGAAGAAGUAGAAAAAGAUCCACAAAGGCAUAGGGUAAGCUCUCUCGCCAUGCAUGCGUAAACGAAUGCUUGCCGUGGCAACAUAAUUUUUAUUCAUUACAAAUUUUAGUAAUGAACACUUAACCAAAGUCGAUCUUGGUUCUUGGAUAAUUUAGCAUAUAUGCACUUACUGAUAAUACAUGUUGGCUUGUUGCAUGUAUUACAUCGUUAGCCGGCGUUAACAUUUAUUUCAGCCACUUAGCAUGCUCAUGAAACGAAAUGAAAUGGCGGAGAGAUCGGGAGGGGUGCUACAUUUGUCCAACACACAACAAGAGAACAUUUCACCCAUCUUUGUUGCGUUGUGCCUAUUUUAAAUUGUUUGGGCAUAUCCAGUCGAAUCCUCAAAAUGCCAUCUCACAAAUUUCUUCUCAAAUCUGAACUCUUCAAAUAUGAGAAGUUAAAAAUUGUUUGAAGCUAGCAGAACUCCUAAAUUUAACUCCUGAAAUCCAAAUCGUACACAAAUAUCUCAUUUGAAACUCAAAUUUAAAACUGCAUUAAGACCACUAGCACAAUAGUCAUUGUUGGAGAGCCUCCACGCCGUCCAUCCAGGAGCAGUAUCUCACACGACGCAUAUGUAUGCGCUAUUCCAUAAUUGAAACAGAACCGCUUGCAUCGCCUCCAGGGGGGCGACUCGGGCGACCUAGCCGCCGCCGCCCUCGACCUCCCUCCUCCCCUGCUUCCCCGCCGCCGCCGGAGGAGGCCGGCGAUCUUUGCUCGCCCGACGGACGGCGGACGGCGAUCUUCGCUCGCCCGACGGACGGCGGACGGCGAUCUUCGCUCGCCCGACGGACGGCGGAUGGCGGGCCUUCCUCCCUUUUUCACGAGGGGAUCCUCUGGCUGAGAUGCGAGGGCGUCCCUGGACGUACGACAUGGAGGCGGAGUUGGCACGCUCGGCGGCGGCCCGAUGGGAUCCUGGCGGUGCUGCGGGGGCUGCCGGCGGAUCUGGGGUUCACAACCCCAGAUCGGUUCUCCUUGUUGUAUGAUGUUGGACCUGAACAAGGUGGUGGCGCCAUCCCCUUUGUCAGGGAUGACGGUCAGGUGGUGGGUCCUUGUGGCGUUGCCGGUGGCGGCGGAUCUUGGGAUCCCGCUCCCGGGGACGUCGCAGGAUGUGGUGGCCCGUGCAGGAGAGAUGGGUUCUUCGAACAGAUCUGGGUAAAAGCUUGCUUUCGGCUACUGCCAAAGCCGGUGAUGGCGGCGUUGUCUACGUCGUUUCCUUCCUGAAGGCAUCGCCGAGGAGAAGUUCAAGGCCGCUCUUCGCUACCUCCGGGGAAAAUCCUAGAUCAGUAGAUUGGAUGACGGCGACGCUCUGGUGUCGUUUCCCUCUUGAGGGCGUCAUUCAUGGAGGUACACACGGGCUCGAGGGAUCAUUGGUCGGCAUCAACGGUGGAGCGACGUUCCUUGUUACACAUCAACGUCGUGGAGUCUCGGCGGCGAGGCGCAACAAAGCCUCGGCGACGGAUGCGUGAUGAUGAGCGCGCGUAGGGAGGAUGCGCUGUUUGGCGCUGUGGGGGCAUCGACGGCAGGCCUUGCAAGGUCGAUGCAUCAGUAACUCUUCUGAAGAUGGAUUGAUGAAAAGCGGCGGCGACGACCUAUGAGGGUGCGUUGGACCGGUUUGUGCCCCUAACCCGGUAUGUGGCUCGGUUGGGGCCUCCGGCUUUAGAUGUUAGGCUAGGUGAGAGGUCUGGGUAUGUGGCUCACACUUUCUGCACCCCUUCAUCAUUGGAUAGAAGUAGCGAUAGAUAUUGCCAAGAGGGCGGCUUCAGAUAUAUUGAUGUAUUGCUUUGUAAAAACUUUGUGAAUAAUUAAUAAAAUGGAUGCAUGCAUGUUCCAGAUGCAGAGACCGGGGUUCAUCCUCCUUUUUAAAAAAAAAAUCACUCACUUAAACUCCGCGCAGAAACCCACACUCUAAUACUCUAUGCUUCGACGGGGUAGCCUUUGUCCCUCGGAUCUUAUUCCACAGCCUUGUUGCCUCCUCAGACAGAUAAUCGCUGUUCGUCCAGUCCCGAUCUCCAGUGGCAUCCUUGUGCAGUCACAAAUCUCUGGAUGGCGCGAGAGUGCGAAGCCAUCUCAGUAAAGGCACCUCCAGCUGGUUUUGGAGCGCGGAGACCUCUCCUGGUUCACAGCCAACGGAAGCACACGAUUGGGCCUCCCGUCGCGCAUCCCAUCCCACUGCAGGCUGCACAACAGAGCAAAGAUGAGAACUCGUUUCAAAUAGACAGAGCCAAGAUGAGCAGGCCAAGACGGCGAAACAACAUACCCGCGGAGUCUGCGGCCAGCGCCGCAUGAGCGAGAUGACGCACGGCGCAAGCGAUGCCACUAACCGACGGUGCGCCAAGACCGUCUAGGUGGGAACCAGUAUUGCCGUGAGAGAAGAUGGCCCCAAAUUGCAUUGCUGCUGUUUGACCACGUCACGACCAUCCAAGUUGAACUUUAUCAAAUAUUUUGGAUUCGACAGGUUCUAAACUCAUUCCUUCAGUUUUCUUCUAAUAUCUCAUCUAAUAUGUAAAUUACGUGGGCGAUUCUUUCAACUGUGUACUAGUGUAGUACUGUUCAUCUCAUGACAAGUGCGGCUAUGAUAUCUUCCUCUUCAAAGUCUAACGCAGUGGCGCUUUUAUAAUGGUCCGUAGAUCGUAUCCCUGCCCCCCCAGCCGGUCACUGUUAUUGUGUGGUUGCUUGGUUUCACAUGUGAAAAAACACUUUUGUGGUGAGUGCUUAACAAUAUUCAUGGGAAUCAUGCAUGCAUGUAUACAUUGAAAGGCAAGAAUUAGAGCACUCCAUAUUAAUGAACCUGAUUAGCGCGAGGUAGGAUCACACCAUACUUAUGAACUUACCAGUAUAUAUCUCCUCUCCAGUUCACUACCUCUAUUAAAUAGUCCACUUGAGCAACUAUGCAGUAUCAGGUGUUGCCCGUUUUGUGAACGAUUACUAUAAGAAAUCAACCAUUCCUCUUUGAAGGCAUCACCUAUGUCUUGCAUAAUUGUUGUUCGCGUCUGGACGAGCCGCGUGAACCCCCGAGGGCAGAGCUCGGAUGUAUCUAGGCUAAGGCUAGCAUAGCUUGGCAAUUAGUUUGUGUCAUUUUUUUUUUAUUAUCCCCUUUUACUUGUACUAUACUUUUAUAUUUAUACUAGGACAUAUGCCCGUGCGUUCCAACGGGUCAAUAAAAAUUGUCACAUACUUUGACAGAACCUUUAAUACUCCACGUUAUGACAUGUGCUUGGCUACGAAGAAAACUUUAGUUGCCCCAUCCACCAUCCGAUCGGGGUGUUGGAUCCGCAGCCACCGCCGCCACCAUCUCCACACAGAUCAGCCAACCCCGUCCGGAAGGGGUACUGCCACCACCUCGUCCUUCAGGGCCGCCGCUCCGCCGGAGAUGGAGCUUCGACUACCGCCACGUAGCAAAGGGGCGUCGCCCUCGGACUCCCACGUGAGGUGCCCCUGCCGCUCAGAUGGGAUCCCGCAGCAACCACCCGCCUUGGUGCUUUCGGUACCGGGGCCGCCGCCACCGUGGCCCGCGCCGGCGGUAGGAGGAGGCGCGAGGGGCGGCCUACGGCACUAGGGUUCAGGGGCCCCUAGCGUCGCCCAGGGGAGGCGACGCGAGGGGGUACGGGGCGUUGUACGGGGCUAUUAUGUAAUAUCAUGGUUCAGUUUAGCCGCUUCAGAUCACAGGAAACAAAAGGACUGAAUUUCGGCUACUACGCAGUAGCAUGGUUCAUUUUAGACUGAAUUUUGGCCACUGUGCAGUACCAUGGUUCAGUUUGAGCUUGGCCAAAACAACUCAAAAUCAACAUUGCUCGAGCAGUUUGAACCACGUACCUUGGCUACACGGGGCGGUGUAAUUCCAGCGAAGUCGGCACUAUGGUGAAAUAGAUAUGUGGGUCGUAUAAAUAGUAACAUAAUUUGCCUUCUUUCCAUGCUACCUAGAUAUUAGAUUUGCUUGAAGUCAAUGUCUGUAAGAAAGCAAUAUGUACAAAUUAGAAAACCAACACAAAGCAAGCUGACAUUGUUCUAACCUUAAAAAUUUAAGUGCACUAGUAAGAAAUCUGAAAUUUCUUACCCUGUUGAAUUGUUGAUUGCACAAGUAGCAGACUUCCUUAGGUUUGAAUCACUCCAAGAAAUCAAUGGGUAAACUGCGACAGCUGCUCCGUUCUGCUGAUUGGGCGAAACUACGAAGUGGUUAACACGUCGACAUAGGGACGGAUUGAUCGCAAAUUCGACAGCCAACAACGACGGGAGCACAUCUCUGAAGAAAAACAAAUCCACGAUGUGAUCUCUACUCUGAUAGUUGGUGGAGAAAGUAGAUGGAGAACGCCAUCACCAGCACAGAUGUGGAGUUCAUCACCAGCGCGGGCAGUGCUCUGUUCAGGCUGCAGAGAUGACGAUGUGGGGUUCAUCUCCGUCGCACACAUCGAGGCGUCCACCGGCGGGCGGCAUGCCCUGUCUUGCCGGCCUCGUGCUCCGUCAAGGAUAUUAUUGCAAUAGCAGGUCAUUGCGCACACCUGCUCACUUGCUUCAUGCCCCUGUAUCGCUUCUUGGCAUAGUAUACUUGCGUCCCCGAUCGCACCCUGCACACACACACACCCCAACCCCCAAUUAACAUAUAUGCGCGCCCACACAAACACACAAACACAAGCAGCCACACACCGCAUACUCUACACACCAAGGAAAACAUCUUCGACUUUGAAUUUACUACGUAACAACACAGAAAACAAUUUAUUAUCAAAUUUCAUCAAAUACUUGCUUGCCUCCGGAUAGAAAUAUUAUGGUAGGGGGAGUGGGAUCCAGGGGAGCGGCGAGCAGGGGAGAUACCUUGGGGCAGCAAGUAGGAGGCGCCCGCUGUCGAGAAGGCUGGGCACUGUCGUCAGCGAGGUUGCAGGUUGGACGUCAACAAGCAGCUUGUCAGUUUUUGCAUAUUUAGAGUGCAGAAUUUAAAUAUAUUUCAAUUCCUCCAUACAAUAAUAAUUUUUGACAAAAGCUCUUUGUGAUUGUUCUUGUCAGGCAUAUUUGCAUAAUACUCCUUCCUUUUUUUACCAUGUGUAUUAGUUUUGUCUUACGUCAAACCUUUUGAAGUUUGACCAAACUUAUACUCCCUCUGUUCACGUUUAUAAGAUGUUUAGACAAUUCACACAACGCCCAAAACAAUUCUAUGUCAAGUGUCCAAAAUGUCUUAUAAAAAACGUAGGGAGUAGAAAAGAAUGUUGACAUUUAGAAUACCAAGUUUUUCUUUCAUUUAUAUUUUUGUUUAGGGUAAUACCAAUGCCUUUAAUACAUCCUUCCCUAUGAAAAUUAUGUUUAUUUUUUAUUUUUAUAUUUGUUAUAGUUUUUGUAUUGCAAUGGAUUUCAUAGUACCAGGUUGUUGUGUUUAUCUUAAUUCCACACCUUAUAGCCCAUAGUGUAGGAAUAUUGUAGAAAUUUGAUAUGACCAAUGAAAUUUAUUGUCUAAUUGUAAAUAAAAUAAAAUUAGCAUAAUUGCUGCUAAAAAUGAAAGACUAGAAUAGGUGUUUUAAUUCCCUAUUUUCCCCUUCCAUUAAUUUGUAUGAUUAGGGUGUAUGUGCGUGCAAGCAAAUAUACUUAUCACAGGAAAUUUAUGUACAUGGGUGAUGAUCUUUUUGAAGUCCUAUAGCCGGUGAUGGUUAUACAGUGAUUGCAUGUGCAUGCAUAAAGGACAAGUUUUAACUAGUGGAUCGGAUGAUGUAUAGUACUACUUCACACAAAAGAAAAAUGUCUAGUACUAGUAGUGCUGCAUCCAUGCAUAAAGUCGAUUGAAGCCAACAAUGAGCGAUGCUUGCUUCUACUUCAGUCUUUGGAUGCAAAUCCAAUGGACAUGCAAAAUUUCAACUGAAACAAAAAGAAGUUCUCCUCGGGUACUGCUUGCAAGUGUGGGACCUCGGGUGCACUGCAAGGAUGCGUGGUAGCUCCACGGGGUAGCCUUGGUCGCUUCGGAUCUUUCUCCGCAGCCGCCGCACACAGAUCCUCGCCCGGAGCUGCUCGCCUAUGGACGCCCAUGCGUAGCAUCCUCUGCGUCUCGAGCGGCAUCCAUGUGUAGCAUCCUCUGGGUGUUCGCCUUCUUCCGGGUGGCGCGACACAAGGACGUCAUCUCUACGUAGGCCGACUCCAGGUCGUUCUUGAGAGCGGACACUUGUGACGUGUCCUUUGGCGCCUGCAUCGGCAGGUCCUCCUUACCGACUUCCUCCAACCACAGAACAGAACGAGAAACUGCCUGGAAAAAAAUAGAGCGAAGAUGAGUAACGUGGCCAAGAGCCCAAGACACGAGUCUACGCCGGCGCCGCAGGAACGAGCUGACGCAUGACACGAGUGCUGCCGCUAACCCGCGAUGCACGAAGGCCGUCAAGGCCGGAGGCAGUGAAGCCGUGGGAGAAAUCUAUCAUAGAUUUCACGGUCAGGAGGCUCGAAACUCAUUCAUUCGGUUUUCUUCUAAUGUCUCAUCUAAUAUCUAAAUUAUGNN
rnacentral:lncRNA from 1 species